rnacentral:rRNA from 1 species
AUGGAUGAGGAGUACUACAUGUUUUGCGAUCAAGGAUCCGAUGAUGACACAAUUGAGGAUGACGAUGAAAUGAGCAUGUCGGAUGCUAUACCUAGCGAGGUUGAUCCAUUAGACUUUGUCUACACAAACAUCCCAGACAGCACUCACAUCCUGAAGCUCGACGCAAACUACAAACACUACAAGGCCAAAAAGUUUGUGUCUGAGACUGACGGGUUCUGCUGUCGCAAUGGACAGAUCAAACUUAAACAACAGAACCAGUCCCAGAGCUGA